UGGUUUUAGUGGCUUAGGUUCGUACAUUGGAGGCUUUUUUGGAGGUUCAUACAUUGGUGGUUUGGGUUCAUCAGGUUUCUUUUUCUUUGGAGGUGUAUAAACCGGUGGCUUUGGUGGCUUAGGUUCGUACAUUGGAGGCUUUUUUGGAGGUUCAUACAUUGGUGGUUUGGGUUCAGGUUUCUCUUUCUUUGGAGGUGUAUAAACCGGUGGCUUUGGCUCGGGCUUCUCCUUCUUUGGAGGUUCAUAUACGGGUGGUUUGGGUUCAGGUUUCUCUUUCUUUGGAGGUGUAUAAACCGGUGAUUUUGGCUCAGGUUUCUCCUUCUUUGGAGGUUCAUAUACUGGUGGUUUAGGUUCAGGCUUCUCCUUCUUUGGAGGUUCAUACACUGGUGGUUUGGGUUCAGGCUUCUCUUUUUUUGGAGGUGUAUAAACCGGUGGCUUAGGUUCAUAUGGUGGUGGUUUCACCUUGGGAGGCUUGUAUACUGGAGUAGGGG
rnacentral:lncRNA from 1 species